GAUGAAGAACGUAGCGAAAUGCGAUAAGUAGUGUGAAUUGCAGAAUUCAGUGAAUCAUCGAAUCCUUGAACGCACAUUGCGCCCCAUGGUAUUCCGUGGGGCAUGCCUGUUCGAGCGUCAUUUACCCCCUCAAGCUCCGCUUGGUGUUGGGCGUCUGUCCCGCUUCGCGCGCGGACUCGCCCCAAAGGUAUUGGCAGCGGUCGUGCCAGCUUCUCGCGCAGCACAUUGCGCUUCUCGAGGCACCGGUGGGCCCGCGUCCAUCAAGCUCACCCCCCCAGUUUGACCUCGGAUCAGGUAGGGAUACCCGCUGAACUUAAGCAUAUCAAUAAGCGGAGGA
rnacentral:misc_RNA from 1 species